rnacentral:rRNA from 1 species
UGGAUUAGUACAGUAGAGUUUGAUCCUGGCUCAGUAAGUCGUAACAAGGUAACCAGUAGAGUUUGAUGCUGGGGAAGAGUAACACGUGGAUAACCUACCUAUAAGACUGGGAUAACUUCGGGAAACCGGAGCUAAUACCGGAUAAUAUUUUGAACCGCAUGGUUCAAAAGUGAAAGACGGUCUUGCUGUCACUUAUAGAUGGAUCCGCGCUGCAUUAGCUAGUUGGUAAGGUAACGGCUUACCAAGGCAACGAUGCAUAGCCGACCUGAGAGGGUGAUCGGCCACACUGGAACUGAGACACGGUCCAGACUCCUACGGGAGGCAGCAGUAGGGAAUCUUCCGCAAUGGGCGAAAGCCUGACGGAGCAACGCCGCGUGAGUGAUGAAGGUCUUCGGAUCGUAAAACUCUGUUAUUAGGGAAGAACAUAUGUGUAAGUAACUGUGCACAUCUUGACGGUACCUAAUCAGAAAGCCACGGCUAACUACGUGCCAGCAGCCGCGGUAAUACGUAGGUGGCAAGCGUUAUCCGGAAUUAUUGGGCGUAAAGCGCGCGUAGGCGGUUUUUUAAGUCUGAUGUGAAAGCCCACGGCUCAACCGUGGAGGGUCAUUGGAAACUGGAAAACUUGAGUGCAGAAGAGGAAAGUGGAAUUCCAUGUGUAGCGGUGAAAUGCGCAGAGAUAUGGAGGAACACCAGUGGCGAAGGCGACUUUCUGGUCUGUAACUGACGCUGAUGUGCGAAAGCGUGGGGAUCAAACAGGAUUAGAUACCCUGGUAGUCCACGCCGUAAACGAUGAGUGCUAAGUGUUAGGGGGUUUCCGCCCCUUAGUGCUGCAGCUAACGCAUUAAGCACUCCGCCUGGGGAGUACGACCGCAAGGUUGAAACUCAAAGGAAUUGACGGGGACCCGCACAAGCGGUGGAGCAUGUGGUUUAAUUCGAAGCAACGCGAAGACCUUACCAAAUCUUGACAUCCUUUGACACUCUAGAGAUAGAGCUUUCCCCUUCGGGGACAAGUGACAGUGGUGCAUGGCUGUUCGUCAGCUCGUGUCAUGAGAUGUUGGGUUAGUCCGCACGAGCGGCACCGUAAGCUUAGUUGCCAUCAUUUAGUUGGGCUCAUCUCUAAGUCUGUAC